rnacentral:lncRNA from 1 species
CACAGAUGUGAUCAUACAUAACUCUAGGAAGAACAAGCAAUUCAAAUGUCAUUUCAUAAAGCCGGACAUAAAAUUAGACAAAAAAAACAAGGCAGUUUUAUUUCCCCAGAGGUUAGGGUAGAACUGAAAUCCAUGGGAUCAACAAUAUAUCUACACAUAAAAAUGAACAAUAAAAACAAACAAUGUAAUAAAAAAAGGCCGGGUAACGGUAAUUUAUUCUUUCCCAAUAGAUGUGCAGCAUAACCUAGUUGGUUUAGCUAUUCUAUUAGGCACAUCUUUUGAUGUACUAGAAGUGACAAUUGUUAAGCAGAAAAUGUCUACAUACAAGAGCCUUAAACGUUACUGUUCAAAAGGAAAUAAAAUAAAGGGACACAAAAAAAAAGGUAUAAAAAUAGAAGAAGAUUUUUCUUUUCUCCUCAUGACACAAAAGUCUAGAACAUGAUUAACAUGAGUUGACUGUAAAAGUGAUACAUUUAUCAAAUAUUCACAAAACAGCUGCCUCUGUCCAUUAUUAUUAGAGGACAACAACGCAACAAUGUUAUCAGACAGUUCUGAGUGGGACAUUCCCAUGUCACGGUUAAAAAGAUGAUGAAUCUGUAAAAUGUCCAAUAUGCUGUCCAUGGGGGAUCCAAUGAAAGCCCAUGUAUGACGUACAUAGCUUGAAUGGUUACAGGAGAUCUGAGAUGGCACUGCCUCCUGAAAGAGAGAUGAGAAAACAUUGUUACAAAAGAGACUGGAAAAAAAAGGGUUUGGAAGGGAUGAAGCAGCCAAAGCAAAGCAUAUAAUUAAAUUAACACACGUGGUGACAGCAAACACAGAUGCAGGUGUCUAGGACGCAAUAUUACAAACUGUAUUUUGCAGAUCCUUUAUUACACAUGGCCUAAUGUGCUUUGAGGACAGGUGAAAUGACUAAAAAGAUAGAGCCACCAGAAAAGUGGUGACAAAAGUAAGCUAAUGUGGGUUCCAGAGACAUAGCUAAGUUCGGGAAACUAAAACACUAACAUAAAUUGUGACAGAAUACUGCCAUCAUGUCGCAAGUCUAGAGUUAGAUUUAAAAAUAAAAAUAAAAAUAAAAAAUUGAAAAGUUGUUUUAUAUCCCCCAUCCACAUAGAUAUCUUUGCAUAUAAAGUAUACCAAGGUUCUUAAAUGAUUUUCUUAUAAAAGGCCAGAUAAAUGCAAAAUUUAGGACUAGAUUAGGUUGGACCAUAACAAAUAUUACAAAAUAAUAUUAAGUGGGCACAUAUCUGUAUUAUUGCUGUUGAUCCAAAAUAAACUGACAAGGCAACUGGGAAAAUAACCCCUUAAGGACACAGCUUCAGAAGCUGGACAUACCCUUAAGGACACAAGCAUUUUUUGCGGUUUCAACUGCAAUUAGCAUCUCUCUCAUUUAUUGUACCAAUACAUAUUAUAUACAGUCUUUUAGACAACAAAAAGGGCUUUAAUUUGAUGUGAAAUAUACAUAUAUAAAUUCUCACUUAUUAAAAAAGAAAAGAAAAAAGAAAAAUAAUGGGUGGGGGGGAACAAGUUUUGGCAAUAAUAACAUGUGCAUAAUAUGUCCAGCUUAGGAAAAGUAAUUCAAAAUCAAUUAAUUUAUUUGAAUUGAUUCACAAAGUACAUAAUAUGUGUAUGAUUUCAGUUUAUUUUGACAUAUACAGGUCACAAACUACAAGGUCUAAAAUAAAAUUUCAAUGCGAAAAUUUUAGAAGUUGGUAUGUUUGUCUUUGAAGUUUAAUUCCCAUUGCAGAAAAAACAAAAUUGCCACAGAAAAGUAUUUAUUUAUAUAAAGUAGACAUCACAGGCGAUUUAACAAAGGUUAUUUUGACACUUUUUACGUAGCCAUUUCACCGCCAAUCUCUGCUAAAUAUUGGAGUAAAAUGGUGUUUUUUCUCUAUUUUGGCAUAUACACAUAACAAGGUUUUUGUAAUGUGUAUUUCGUAAAGCUAGUGUGUGCUAUCCCUGUACAGAACCCCGUGUUGAGUUCAGCUACAUCUGCUGAGUACAACGAUACCACCAUUGUUUACCUUUGCCCCUAUUCUGUGAAGCUACAAUGCUGUAUAGCAGAUAAUGCUAUUUUAGUUUCUAUAGUUGGAAUUUUCAUGGAUGGUCAUAUGUCUGGUUUUGUGGCAUUAUAGCCAUUUGACUGUUCAAAUAACCCCACAAAGGCCUUCCCCGUUUGACAAAGCAGACACUCCAGGGAAUCUUAUUAGGCAUAUAUUAUACCUUAACUUGCCACAAUUUUUUCACCAAUUUAUUUCAAAUUUUGUGGUGAGAAAAAAAAACAAUUAAAAUUAUAUACAUAUAUGUUGCAUUUUCGCUGGGUAUUUCAUACAUUUGAUAAGUACCACUGUCAUAAAUUCCCCCUAAGUAUGCUCAGUUACCUCUUCUGAGUAAAACAAUAUGCACAAUAUAUGACCUAGACACUAUUUUGUGAAGUUACAGUGCUGUAAAAGAGACAUGACAAGUUCAGUUUAAGUUUGAAUUUACAUGGAUGGUUUUAAUGGGUCCGUAUUCUAUUUUGAAAUAUGUUAGCAGGCUGCUUUUUCCAACUACCCCAAAAAGGAAUACUAUUUCUUACAGAAGACACCCGUGGGUAUUUCAAAAGGCAAAUUUUGAACCUUAGCGUGUGAUAAUUUAUCCGCUAGCUUGUAUCAAGUUUAGUGGUGAUAAGCAUUUUAUUCUGCCCUUUUUGACACACAAAGUGAGUUUGUACUGUAUAUUUAGCAAACCUUAUGUGUGCUACGGUUUUAUAAUACUUCAUAUGUUGCUCAGCUAUGUUGUCUUUGCCAGGUAUAUGUGGAUGUUGAAGGGGCACAUUUCAGACACAGCCAUUGCAGGUUUUUUUUUUUUUCCAAACUGAAUUUUUACGCUGUGUUGUUACUCCACUUUGGAGUUUUUGUUUUUUUUAGCAGGCUAUAUAUUCCAACUAUCCCAUAAAGACAUACUAUUUCUUAAAGACGACAUCACACGGUAAUUCAAAAGGCAUAUUUUGAACCUUAGCCUGAAAUAAUUUUUCCGGUAGCUUGUACCAAGUGUAGUGGUAAUAAGCAAUUUUUCUGCCUUUUUGACUCUCAGUGAGUUUGUACUAUAUAUUUUGCAAACUGUAUGAGUGCUACAGCAGUAGAAUACAUCAUAUGUUGCUCAGCUAUGUCAUCUGAGUACAGCAAUACACCCGUAUGUAGCUUUACCAGGUAUAUGACAACAGUGAAGGGGCACAUUUGAGAUACAGCCAUUUAAGUUUGAAUUUUUACGCUGGGUCCAUGCCCCACUUUUGAAUUUAAUAGGUUGUGUUUUCCAAUUAUUUCACAAAGGCAUUCCAUUUCCUAAAGAAGACACCCCAGGGUGUUUCAAAAGGCAUAUUUUAAACUUUAUCGUGGUAUUAUUUUUUCGCUAGCCUGUACCAAGUUUAGAGGUAAUACGCAUUUUUUACCUUUUUUUAAAAAAAUUUUUUUUACUUUU